rnacentral:rRNA from 1 species
CAGUAGCCGCGGUAAUACGUAGGUCCCGAGCGUUGUCCGGAUUUAUUGGGCGUAAAGCGAGCGCAGGCGGUUAGAUAAGUCUGAAGUUAAAGGCUGUGGCUUAACCAUAGUACGCUUUGGAAACUGGUUAACUUGAGUGCAAGAGGGGAGAGUGGAAUUCCAUGUGUAGCGGUGAAAUGCGUAGAUAUAUGGAGGAACACCGGUGGCGAAAGCGGCUCUCUGGCUUGUAACUGACGCUGAGGCUCGAAAGCGUGGGGAGCAAACAGGAUUAGAUACCCCCGUAGUCCCUGUCUCUUAUACC